GAUGAACGCUGGCGGCGUGCCUAAUACAUGCAAGUCGAGCGAACAGAUGAGGAGCUUGAUCCUCUGACGUUAGCGGCGGACGGGUGAGUAACACGUGGAUAACCUACCUAUAAGACUGGGAUAACUUCGGGAAACCGGAGCUAAUACCGGAUAAUAUAUUGAACCGCAUGGUUCAAUAGUGAAAGACGGUUUUGCUGUCACUUAUAGAUGGAUCCGCGCCGCAUUAGCUAGUUGGUAAGGUAACGGCUUACCAAGGCAACGAUGCGUAGCCGACCUGAGAGGGUGAUCGGCCACACUGGAACUGAGACACGGUCCAGACUCCUACGGGAGGCAGCAGUAGGGAAUCUUCCGCAAUGGGCGAAAGCCUGACGGAGCAACGCCGCGUAAGUGAUGAAGGUCUUCGGAUCGUAAAACUCUGUUAUUAGGGAAGAACAAAUGUGUAAGUAACUAUGCACGUCUUGACGGUACCUAAUCAGAAAGCCACGGCUAACUACGUG
rnacentral:rRNA from 1 species